GAUCAUUUCCCACAGUAGAUAAAUUCUUUCCAUUGCUCAACCAAUCCUGCCUCACCAGUGAUAUGUAGUGGGCGACCCACGGACAUCCGAUAUAAGAGUCGUAUUUGUAAGUUUUGGGAGUUUGUAUUUGCGCGUUUUGAGUGUUUUGUAUAGAAUGGAAAGCUUAAGAUGGAGGGAGUUGACAUACUCCAAUCUUGCUUGAUAGCUCCAAAAAACGAGGUCAGGACAGUGGCUUAGUGAAUGCGUCGUCGAGCUGCUCGUGAGUAGAUACAUGAGAUAUUCAUAAAGUACCCAAGUUUACAUUGUCGCGGAUGAAGUGAUAAUCUAAAACAAGAUGCUUUAUUCGGGAGUGAAACACAUGAUUAUUACAGAGAUACGUCGCCCCCAUCACAAUAUACUACUGUGUAUGUGGCAAAGUGACACUGAGCUUAGUGAGUAUUAGAAAGAUUUAUAACCUAUGGAUAUAAUCCGUUUUUUAGUUCAGGAAUAUUUUUCGAACUUUCUUGAUAUAGUAUCUUUUUCACCACGAUCAAAAAUUUUGAAUGACCAUAGUAUAAGCUACAUUGUCUACAUAUAU
rnacentral:lncRNA from 1 species